rnacentral:rRNA from 1 species
AUGGCGGGGGAGGGGAGGCCGGACUCGCAGCUCUUCCAGCUCCUCACCGACCUUCUGCAGGAGGUGGAGUCAAUGAGCAACCAGGAAGAGGUAGAAUUGAGAGCAAAGAUUGAAGCGCUGGGCCUAGAAGUCACUAAGGUUCCAGAGAAGGCACCUAAGCAACUUGAUGAGUUAGAGAUAGCCGCAGAGCUGGACAGGUUGUCGGCAAGGCUCGAUAAUGUCGACAAGAUGAUAUCAUCUGCCAUGACAUCUGACCCAGAGGUGAAAUCGCUUCUGAGCAGCACCGCCGAUGUCUGGAUGCCCGUCAUCACCGCGUCUGCUGAUGAAAGGCGAGGGUUUGCGGAAACAAGCGGUGACAAGGAAGAGCAAGAGAAAUCUAAGUAA